CUGGUUGAUCCUGCCGGACCCGACUGCUAUCGGAGUGAGACUAAGCCAUGCGAGUCGUGCGCUCCGGGCUGGCGGAGCGCGGCGUACGGCUCAGUAACACGUGGUCAACCUACCCUGCGGACGGCUAUAACCCCGGGAAACUGGGGCUAAUAGCCGAUAGGGGAUAGGUGCUGGAAGGCCUUGUCCUCGAAAGGCCUAACCACCCAUGCCGUGGUUAGGCGCCGCAGGAUGGGACUGCGCCCCAUCAGGUAGACGGUGGGGUAACGGCCCACCGUGCCUGUAACGGGUGCGGGCCCUGGGAGGGGGAGCCCGGAGAUGGGCACUGAGACAAGGGCCCAGGCCCUACGGGGUGCAGCAGGCGCGAAAACUCCGCUAUGCGCGAAAGCGCGACGGGGUCACUCCGAGUGCCGCCCGCUGAGGGCGGCUUUUGCCCAGUCCAAAAGGCUGGGUGAAUAAGGGGAGGGCAAGUUUGGUGUCAGCCGCCGCGGUAAUACCAACUCCCCGAGUGGUCGGGACGAUUAUUGGGCUUAAAGCGUCCGUAGCCGGCCCGGUGUGUCUCUGGUCAAAUCCGGCGUCUCAAGCGCCGGACCGCCGGAGAUACUACUGGGCUAGGGAGCGGGAGAGGCGGGCGGUAUUCCCUGGGUAGGGGUAAAAUCCUAAGAUCCAGGGAGGACCAUCGGUGGCGAAGGCGGCCCGCUAGAACGCGUCCGACGGUGAGGGACGAAAGCUGGGGGAGCGAUCCGGAUUAGAUACCCGGGUAGUCCCAGCCGUAAACGAUGCAGGCUAGGUGUGUGGACGCCUUAGGGGCGUCCAUGUGCCGAAGGGAAACCGUUAAGCCUGCCGCCUGGGGAGUACGGCCGCAAGGCUGAAACCCUAGGAGGCCCUUAACUGAUAUAAUGAGGAAGGGUUCUCCUAGGGCAGCACACUUAAAGGAAUUGGCGGGGGAGCACCACAAGGGGUGGAGCCUGCGGUUCAAUUGGACUCAACGCCGG
rnacentral:rRNA from 1 species